UGUACAUUGGAUGACAUCAAUAGUAAAAUAGGGAAACUUUUCUCUUUUGAUCUUGGUCUUUCUUGUGUUUUGUCCUUUUGGACAGGUUUCGUUUUAUGCUGUAUGUGCCAGCAGCUCCUGGCACAAUGGGGCCCUAGUCUUAGGCAACUUUGGGUGCUUUCAUAGUCCAGUAAUAUUGCAAUAACAAUAAUAUUUGAUGCAGUAGUAAAAAAGAUGAUGCUAAGUCUGUCUCUCCUCCACCAAGUGUGAAAAACCUAGCAGGUCUCCAUGUAUAUAGAAGCUCUGCUUUUUCAGGCUGGGAGAUCUGCUUCAAAACACACCAGUGAUUUGAUAUAAAACACUAAGGUAGACACAACUUACGUGACAGAAAGCCGAUUUAUAAAAUGCUGAAUACACAUUUGUACUACUUUGCAUUAGUGAAUGCACCCAGCACAACUCACGCAGUGAUAACCGUGUGGACUUUCCCCUUCUUUUUAGAAAGCUACGUAGAGACAAUCCUUCAAAACUCCUGCUCAGUCUUGGUGCUGCACUGCUGAUACUCAACAUGGUCUUCCUCAUCAACUCCUGCCUGUCCUCGUUCAACCAGCCGGGUCUCUGUAUCACUGUGGCUGUGCUCCUUCACUACUUCUUGCUUGCAGCUUUCACAUGGAUGUGCCUGGAGUCUGUUCGCUUUUACUUGGCUCUUGUCAAAGUUUUCAAUGUUUAUGUCCCAAAGUACAUCCUAAAAUGCUCCAUUGCUGGCUGGGGAAUACCAGCUGUUGUAAUUACUGUUGUGCUCAUUAUAAAUAGAGACUUCUAUGGCAAUGGAUCACAUUCUGAGAGCAAUCCAUUCAGCAAUUUGGUUCUUUAUCUUUGUGUUUCACUGCUUAAUGAAGGAAGAAGUAGUGAAGCAGUGCCGAGUACAUUUUUGCUGGGGAAGAUUUCGUCUCAGUAAUUAUUCAGACUGGAGUGUGUCAGAUGCAACUGCUGGAUCUACACCAAGGCAUUCAAACCACAGAUCAUCAUCCCAGGCUUUGUGGAGUCUAAAUUCUGAUCGAACAAGAUCAAGUUUCAAUGAUUCAGAUUUUCUCCCCAGGACUUCUCUAGAUAUAAAUUUUAGGAUCGGGAAGAAAAACAGUGGGUAGUCCGUAGAGUAGAAUGCAAUAGGUUCCAUAUGGUGACUGUCAAACCCCAACCAAUGGAAAUAAAUAGGAAACUUUUCGCUGCUUUGUCUAUGCCAGACCUAAUCUGGGGGUUUAAUGGCUGUGUUACAGACAGCUUUUGCUGUAACAAGGGAAGUAGAAAAGCUCUUCAGAUCCUGGUAUGGCUCUUUUCCAAAAGGAAGGGAACUCUCUGCUCAGCCUCCACCUCAGGCACCUAGGAGAUAUUCUACCCUGGGCCGGCUGGCUGUCAUUGUCACGGGACCUACUUCCAGUUAGGGAGUACUAUAGUCUGUCUCAUGCAUUCCUGAAAGAGCAAGGAUCUUGGGGAUUACAGGAAGCUGAACAGGACCUGCUGUCAGCCUGUUUAGUCCAGAAGAAUCCCAGCAAGAGAUUUUGCCUUCCAAGAUGGAGAAAUCAUUGCAGACCUAUAUUCUGAAAAAGGGAUGCCUUUCUAGGAAUUCUGACCUAAGCGUGAAACAAUCCAGGCUGUUUUUGGAAACACACUGAUUUCUGUUAUUUCUCCAAAGACAAUAAAUCAGUGAGUUCUGCAUAGACAGGUUUCCUUCUAAAUAGAUUAAACCAAAUUUUAAUAAUGGAAAAUUUGCCCUGAUUCUUUUCCAUAGCUGAAGCUCAUUACAAACCGAGUGCUGUACCUCCAGAAGAUGGUGAGACCAAACAUCCUUGUUCACGAAGAUUACUCCCCAUGGAUACAGGGCUGCACUACCCACAGAAAACAAGAUUUUUUAAUUGAUACUGAAUUUGUUUUCUUCUGAUUAUCUAAUGAUGAUUCUUUUUUGUUGCAUGUAGAAAUAAACAUUGGUCUAAAUAAUUACUUUUAAUGUACCAUUAUCGCUCUGAACACAAUUACAGAGCUAAAACAUCCCAUGAUUCAACUCCCUAGGCUUUAGUGGAGUGGCAGUAUUGAUCACAUAAGGAUUUGGUCCUCCUGUGUUUCCAAGAUUAGCCCUCAUGUUAAACAGAGACUGAAAACAUUCUUUUCCUCAUCAUUAGCCCUUGUCAUAGUCUGUCCUCUCUUUUUUUCUCUCUCUACACCCUCCUGCCAUCCCUCUCCUCCCUUCUUUAUCUGAUACUUAUCCUUAGAACCUGAUAUCCGUAAUACUGAGUUUCAGGUCAUGUUUUUGAGCCCGUUAGCUGUCUCAGGCACGGACAUCUAGGCUCCUCAAUCAUUAUCUUUCCUUACUUUUUCUGAGAUAGACUUUGAUAAAUUUAUACAUUAAGAAAUUGGACUCAGCUUUCCCAGAUAUUCCUUUCAGUUGUAUGUUUUUAUUUUCAGACAUGCUGGCACUGAUUACUUGGAUUUAGAUCUCUAAAGAGAUGUAGAUGCGUGUUUAAAUGUUUGAAAAUGUUGCCCAGUACCUUCAAAUGGAAUGUGGGAACCAGAAAUUCCCACCUCUAAUGGGUAUCCAUGUCUACAAGAAAAGGUUCAGAUUACUUCUCCUGCAAAAAAACAGACCAAUAGCAGAUAAAAUCCUAACAUCUUUGGCGGUGGUGCUUAAGAAGUUCACCUCUUUAGUAAUACUUUGUUGUGAAUACAGCAGGAGGUAAACUCCAUUUCAUAACAUCACAAGAGAGACUUACCUUUCCUCUCCUACUGAAGAGGGGCUUUCUUUCAACAGAUGUGUUUGAACUGGUAACUUGCCUGCUCAACCGAACCCUAGUUUCCAUUUUGAAUGCCUUUUUCUGUGUCAUUCAAGUAAAGAUAUUUUGACGAUUGCUAAUACAGUAGAAUACUAACCUGUACCAAUGACAAAGAAGUAAAAAAAAUAAAACGGAGUGAUGUCUUAGAGCGGGUAUGUACGAUAGGAAAUACAAAAGGUUCUUUCAUUUUGUGAAUAACUCCCACACAGCAAUUAGUAGAAAAAGAUGAGUAUUUCAAUGUACAGUAGCUACAGCCAGCCUACUUGAAAUUAGA